rnacentral:rRNA from 1 species
UACGUAGGGACCAAGCGUUGUUCGGAUUUACUGGGCGUAAAGGCGCGUAGGCGGCGUGGUAAGUCACUUGUGAAAUCUCUGAGCUUAACUCAGAACGGUCAAGUGAUACUGCUGUGCUAGAGUGCGGAAGGGGCAAUCGGAAUUCUUGGUGUAGCGGUGAAAUGCGUAGAUAUCAAGAGGAACACCUGAGGUGAAGACGGGUUGCUGGCCGACACUGACGCUGAUGCGCGAAAGCCAGGGAGCAAACGGG